rnacentral:rRNA from 1 species
AACGAACGCUGGCGGCAUGCCUAACACAUGCAAGUCGAACGAGACCUUCGGGUCUAGUGGCGCACGGGUGCGUAACGCGUGGGAACCUGCACUUAGGUUCGGAAUAACUCCCCGAAAGGGGUGCUAAUACCGGAUAAUGUCUUCGGACCAAAGAUUUAUCGCCUUUGGGUGGGCCCGCGUUGGAUUAGCUAGUUGGUAGGGGAAAAGCCUACCAAGGCGACGAUCCAUAGCUGGUCUGGGAGGAUGAUCAGCCACACUGGGACUGAGACACGGCCCAGACUCCGACGGGAGGCAGCAGUGGGGAAUAUUGGACAAUGGGCGAAAGCCUGAUCCAGCAAUGCCGCGUGAGUGAUGAAGGCCUUAGGGUUGUAAAGCUCUUUUACCCGGGAUGAUAAUGACAGUACCGGGAGAAUAAGCUCCGGCUAACUCCGUG